GCUAUGUUUGUAUGUGUUUGUUGCCAUACUGGAAAAAGGCUUAAAGAGAAAUGUAUAAAUAAAUCCUCUUUAGAAGUUCAGAACUUAUUUAGUGUGAGUUUUAAUAUACAUGAGAAGGAAUAUA